UACGUAGGUGGCAAGCGUUGUCCGGAAUUACUGGGCGUAAAGGGCGCGUAGGCGGACAGUUAAGUCAGAGGUGAAAGCCCAGGGCUCAACCCUGGAAUAGCCUUUGAUACUGGCUGUCUUGAGUGCGGGAGAGGUGUGUGGAACUCCGAGUGUAGAGGUGAAAUUCGUAGAUAUUCGGAAGAACACCAGUGGCGAAGGCGACACACUGGCCCGUAACUGACGCUGAGGCGCGAAAGCGUGGGGAGCAAACAGG
rnacentral:rRNA from 1 species